UGGGGAAUUUUCCGCAAUGGGGGCAACCCUGACGGAGCAACGCCGCGUGGGGGAGGAAUGUCUGUGGGUUGUAAACCCCUUUUCUCUGGGAAGAAGGUCUGACGGUACCAGAGGAAUCAGCAUCGGCUAACUCCGUGCCAGCAGCCGCGGUAAGACGGAGGAUGCAAGCGUUAUCCGGAAUUAUUGGGCGUAAAGCGUCCGUAGGCGGUUUACCAAGUCAGUUGUUAAAGACUGCAGCUCAACUGUGGGCGAGCAACUGAAACUGAUGAACUAGAGUGCGGUAGGGGUAGAGGGAAUUCCCAGUGUAGCGGUGAAAUUCGUAGAUAUUAGGAAGAACACCAGUGGCGAAGGCGGCUCACUGGCCCGGAACUGACGCUCAGGUGCGAAAGCGUGGGGAGCAAACAGGAUUAGAUACCCCUGUAGUCC
rnacentral:rRNA from 1 species